rnacentral:rRNA from 1 species
UACGGAGGGUGCAAGCGUUAUCCGGAUUCACUGGGUUUAAAGGGUGCGUAGGCGGAUAGGUAAGUCCGUGGUGAAAUCCUGCAGCUUAACUGCAGAACUGCCGUGGAUACUAUCUAUCUUGAAUAUCGUGGAGGUGAGCGGAAUAUGUCAUGUAGCGGUGAAAUGCUUAGAGAUGACAUAGAACACCCAUUGCGAAGGCAGCUCACUACCCGAAUAUUGACUCUGAGGCACGAAAGCGUGGGGAGCGAACAGG